UACAGAGACUGCAAGCGUUAUUCGGAUUCACUGGGCGUAAAGAGCGUGUAGGCGGCCAGCACAAGUCAGUUGUGAAAUCUCCGGGCUUAACUCGGAAAGGUCAACUGAUACUGUGCGGCUAGAGUGCGGAAGGGGCAACUGGAAUUCUCGGUGUAGCGGUGAAAUGCGUAGAUAUCGAGAGGAACACCUGCGGCGAAGGCGGGUUGCUGGGCCGACACUGACGCUGAUGCGCGAAAGCCAGGGGAGCGAACGGG
rnacentral:rRNA from 1 species